rnacentral:lncRNA from 1 species
CUGUGAAUUUUGAGUCCUAGGAGGAGCUUUUAGAAACUGCAGAUCCUGGGGCCCUGUUCCAGCUCAACUGAUGUGGACUCUCCCAGCGUGAGCAAUGGGAAUCCGUCCUCUGAAUGGUUGCCUCUUCCCAUGGCUCGUGUACCCUGCGGUGUGGAGAACUUGGAGGCUGUUGACAAAAUCCAGCUUUGUGGUUUCGUCCGAAGGUGGUUGGAGCAGGUCUGAACUGAUGGAGGGAGCAAGAAUCAAGAUGCAAUGCAGAUUCUGGACUCUGCUUCCUUAGGAACCAGAGAUGGGCCAGCGCUCGAGGGUGAAGGAUUUGUCCUGAAAUCUUCCAGAUCCAGGAAAAACUGGCCACCUUCUCCUGCAACUCCACUUCUGGCCUCUAGAGGGGGCCGCCGGGAGCCAAAGCACAGCAGAGCUCAGCAAGAUGAACUCCCUCUGUGCCCGCCCCCGAGGGAAUGUCCCUGCUGGCAUUUGGAAAGCAGCUGGUUAACAGCGCGAGCGCGGCCUCCCCACCCUCACAAACUUCUCCACGACACAUUGCACCAUAAUUCUCCCUAA